CGGAAAUUGGAGUGCUGCUUCAAUACUUUAUGGACAUCUGGUUACCCAGAAGACACAGAUGUAUAUUGUAGGAAGAAAAUAAAAGUUGAACCAAUAAUAAGAACAAUAACAUCUGAUGCCGUUGACAAAAUAUUAAUAGAUGAAAACUCCAGUGUUACUAUUAACUGUUUGGUUGAAAGUAUCCCAGUUGCGCAUGUAUCAUGGUCCAGAUCACAACAAGGAGGACAACUCUAUUCUGGUAGUCAAUAUACCAUACCUAAAGCUAGUUGUCAACAUACAGAUAACUAUACCUGUACAGCUAGUAAUAAUAUUGGUCAACCUGUAUCUAAAACUAUUCCACUCGUUGUCAGAUGUACCCCAGUUGUUAUGACUACCCAGACUAUAGUUGUACCACGUGGAGAAACGGGUAUAAUAUCAGUGAACGUUUUAGCAUAUCCACUUCCGGUAUUCGUCUGGUAGUAUCACCAACAAGAUGGAAGCCAACAGCCAGUUACCAUGGUAACAGGUAGAAGAAGUAAACACACAGAUGGUGGUCUAUCAUCAAACAUUAACUAUACACGAUAUUAGAUACGCAGAUGGAGGCAAUUAUACAGUUAAUAUUACCAAUAGUCUGGGUUUCACCUCCAAGACGUACACACUAUCUGUGAUCUCUAACGAAGACGCUGUAAAGGAAGCUAUCGAUGACAAGCUAGGAGUUGGUAUAGCUAUAGCUAUAGGUGUUGGUAUUGGUCUGGUUGUUUCCGGUAUGUUAUUUGUUAUUAUAUGGUGUAUCAAGAGGAGAAGAGGUGCCAUCAUGUCAAAUGAUGGACACGGUGUUAAUGACACAGUAAGCUCCCAGACAUUGUAAUAGUCCUGUAGACACUGGUGAUUCUGUAGAACAUGUAAACACGAUAUAUACCUCUACUUCCCCCAACUACGAGGGACUGGACGAACCUACUAUGGACCAUGGACCGAACUACCACUCUCGAACAAGAGACAGGGUCAUUGAGUCUUAUCUCAAUACACACAACCACAUGGUCAAACUUACGAAAUGACUGGAUGAACAAACUGUGGACAAACAACAAAUCUUUUGGACAU